UCUGACACAGGUGCUGCAUGGCUGUCGUCAGCUCGUGUCGUGAGAUGUUGGGUUAAGUCCCGCAACGAGCGCAACCCUUGCCUUUAGUUGCCAGCAGUUCGGCUGGGCACUCUAAAGGGACUGCCGGUGUUAAACCGGAGGAAGGUGGGGAUGACGUCAAGUCCUCAUGGCCUUUAUGACCAGGGCUACACACGUACUACAAUGGCCGAUACAAAGGGCAGCGACACUGCGAGGUGAAGCCAAUCCCGUAAAAUCGGUCUCAGUCCGGAUUGGAGUCUGCAACUCGACUCCAUGAAGUUGGAAUCGCUAGUAAUCGUGGAUCAGCAUGCCACGGUGAAUACGUUCCCGGGCCUU
rnacentral:rRNA from 1 species